AAAAGGUACGUAGUGAGUGCAUAAACUGGCUCACAAUACUUAUAACAAACAUGAGGUUAGGCCUUAUAUUUGCCAAGUAAACAAGGCGAUCCAAAAGCCGCUAAUAGAUGGAUGGAUCUAGUAACAAUUUUCUUGACUCAGCCGAUAUCUUCAGAUGUUAUACCAUAGGUGUAGAUGCAGGUUUACACUCAAGCAUGCUUGUAUAUUGAAGAAGGUCAAGAGAAUACUUUCGCUGAGAGAGAGAUAUACCUUGGCAAGACCAAGUAACCUCAAUACCAAGAAAGUAACAAAGAGAACCUUGAUCCUUAAUGUCAAAAGCCUUCCUGAGGCCAUCUUUCACUUGAAUAAUACCAAAAGUAUCGUCUCCCGUGAUAAUGAUAUCGUUAAUAUAAACUAAGAUAAUAAUGUAUCGACCCUGAAACUGGCGACAAAUAAACAAGUAUGCUUUGAGAAGAACGGAACAAGCCUCAUAGACAAGCCUACCUCACUAAAGCGGUGGAACCAAGCCUGAGGAGACUGCUUAAGGCCAUAGAUAGAUUUUCAGAGGCAACAAAUAUUACCCGAAUACUCUCCCUAAGCCCGUAAACCUAGAGGCAGAUCUAUAUAUAUAGUCUUAAAAAUAUCACCAUUAAGGAAUGGAUUUUUAAAAUCCAAUUUGUAAAAAGGCCACGAAUAAGAAGCAGCAAGGGAAACUAUGAGGCAAAUGAUGUUUAAUUUGGCAACGGGGGAAAAAAUGGCACCCAAAUAUUGCCUGUAAUUUGGGUAAAGCCUUUAGCAACAAGGUGAACUUUAUAUCUAUCCAUUGAGCCAUCCGCCAAAUACUUCACACUAAACACCCAUUUAUAACCAAUAGUUCUCUUCCCUUUUGGCAAAGCAACAGAUCCCAAGUUCGAUUGUGCUGAAAGGCAUCCAUCUCGACCUUCAUUGUCGACACACAUAAAGGAUUUAGAAGAGUUUCAUGGACAGAGCGAGGAAUCAAGCCCAAGUCCACUUGACUCAAAAAAGACUGAUAAGAGUCUGAAAGACCUUGGUCAAACAAAUAAUGCGCAAUAGUGUGAUUAGUAUUGUUUGAAAGAAGAAAAUGAGAGAGAGGAAGACGAACACGUGUAGGAUAACGAGGAAAAGGAAUAUCAGAAAACUAAAGGAGAAAAGACAUUUGAAUCCGGAGAAGAUGCUAGCAGGGGAGCUGAAGCAUUCAAACAACAAAGGUAGACCUGUGAGGGGUCAGUAGUAACAAUAGAGGGCAGAGAAAUGAUUGGAUCAUAACACCAAUACCUCUUAGACAUUAAGGAAUACUUGAGAAAGACACAACAAAUAGCCUUAUCAUCAAGUUUGGUACUAGGGAGGCUCUUGACUUGAACAAAGCAUGUACAUCUGGAAACACAUUGGCGGAUAAGGAAUAAGAUACUAGCAAAAUUAAGGAUAUUGAGUAGUGCCUUGCCGUGUAUUACCCGACUAAGAGUGCGAUUGAUAAUGUAGGUGUCAAUGAGGACAGCCCUGUGCUAGAAAUAUUUAGGAACUCCCAUCCCCUUUAAGAAACACUAGACCAUAGAUAAAUUGAUGAUUUUUUUUCUCCGAAACACCAUUCUGCUCAUUGGGUAUAAGGACAAGUGUGUUGCUGGAGUAUACCACGUUUAUUAAGUUCAGUUCGAAACUCAUUCGUGAUAUACUCACGAUUAUUAUUUGAUCGGAUAAUGUGCACAAUUGUGUUAUACUGAGUUUUGAUCAUUUGUAGAAAAUGGAUAAAGUGGGAGAAAACCUCAGAUUUAUGGCGCAUCAGAUAGACCCAAGUACAAUGAGUGUAGUCAUCUAUAAAAGUGACAUAAUAAUGAUGUUAAGAGAGUAGUAACUGGAGACCGGUCCCCAGACAUUUAAGUGAAUAAGGUCAAAGGCACUAGGUGCAUGAUCCAUGCGAGGAAUAUAAGAGGUGCAAGUAUGUUUAGACAAUUCAUAAAUGACACAUUUAAAAUUAACUUUAUGGCAUGCUUUAUUCAUGGGGGAAAAAAAAUCAAUAUAAAUACUGAAAAUUUGUAUGUCCUAAACAAGCAUGCCAUAGAUUUAAAAUUUUAAUAACAAAAAUAGACGAAUUUAAAAUUGACAGACUUAAAAUGGAGGGCUCUAAGAGUGGUAGAGUAAAGGCUUGAAGAUUAGAGAACAAAUCACUAGAUGUUGACGGAUCCCCAAAAUAGUAUAGUCCAUUACGCUCAUACCUCUUGUCAAAAAUCUUCUUCGAAGUCAGGUCCUGCAAGAAAUAACGAGAUGGUAAGAAGACAACAUCAUAAUUAAACUUUUUAGCAAUACGACUAAUAAAAAGAAAAUUAUAGGUAAAAUUCAGAACAUAAAAUAUUUAAGGAUAAGAGGGCAUCAUACUGACUAUGAAUGAGAAUAGAUGAUCCACUAACAACACAAAUAGACUGAUUAAUAGAAGUAACAUGAGAGGUAAAGGUAAAAAGCUCAUUAGUCAUGUGAUUAUUAGCCCCAGAAUUUAUAAUUCAAGUGGGGUGACCUAACUUACCAUGAAGGACGGUAGGAGUCCCUGAAGUCCAAUUUCGACUGUAGUUGAGCAAUUUGAGUCUGAAGUUGAUUGAAAUCAAGUAACUCAGCAUGCAUUGGUUCUACUUCUACAAUAGCGCCAACUCACGGAGUUCCACAACCACUACCACAGCCGUGACCACCCACACGACUGCCACCUAAGUUUUGAUUUAACUGUGGUUUUAACUCAAGAUGUUUAACUCAAGAUGUAGAUCAAAGCAGCGAUCAAUACGGUGAUCGUGCUCGCGACAGUACUGGUAAUAUGGGUGAGUUCCGAAAGGAGCAACCAAGGAUGUCUGAUCCGGAGCAAUAGGAGAGGUCUCAAGUAGAUAAAUAGCUGGUAAAAGGCGGUGACUCCAUUCAUCACCAUCAAUAGUAGCGAACACCUCGUAUAGGGAUGGCAAAAGUGAUAUGUUUAAAAUCUGAGUUCGAAGAGACUCAAACUCAGGUUUUAAAAAAUCAAAAAUUGAUAUGUAUGCCGACGAUUAAGGCGUUUGGACUUAACAGCCCCAUCAUUAGGAAAAUCUCUAAGGGGCUUGUAUUGGGCUAAUUCUUCCCAUCUAGUCUAGAUGUAUCCAAAAUAAUCAACAACAGAGAGUCCUAAGGUAGGCUGAGAGGUAUUAGAGAUAUCAUUGUAGAGUUCAAAGAUCGUGGACUCAUUGCGGGCAUGAGCAUAUAUCUGAUUCAAAGCAGUUUAUAAAUCAUGGACGGUAUCAUGAUACAUAAACAUAUGGUAUACUCAGUCCUCAAUCGAGUUAAAUAUCCAACCCAAAACGAUACAGUUAUCUGCAUUCCACUCAUCAAACUUUGAAUCGAAUUUAGUCAGCUUAAGUUCUUUCCCAAGAAUCCAGCGGGUCUUGCACUUUCCACUAAGGUAGAGUCGAAAACAGUGAGGCCAAGCAUGAAAGUUCUUUCCAUUCAAUAACACGCUCAUGACACGUUGAGUUGGUUUGGAAUGAGAAAGAAAAGCAGGAAUUGGACUCGGACCAAUAGGAAUCAAAACAACUGGAGCAACUUCUUGGUUGGGCUAGCCAUCAAAGCAACACCCCGAACAAUCACAGGGAAUAUGAUACGGUGGUGUGACAGAGGUUGCUUUGGACUGGCUGGAAGAUUGGAUGACUGGCUGGAUGUGUGACUGAAUUAAUCUUAUCUUUUUUAUAUAUAAUAUUCUCAACGCACUUUACAAAAUAAAUGAUUGAUUGUAAGCUCCCAUACCACCCACUUUAAUCUAGAGUUUACAUCCUAAACUCAAAUAUAUAAAGAGAGAGACACUUGUCCAUUACAAAACACGGUGUCACACUCACAAAGUUGGGAAAGUAUUUCUUCUGUUUGUUUUUUAAUCCCCAUUUGACAUGGCGUUAUGCUUGAGGAUAAGCUGUUUGGUUUGUUUGUACAUUUGUGGUGUUGCUGUUGUACACAAAAGUAGCAUCACCAUCAUCUUCAUCAUCCUCCAUUCUCAACCACCAAACCCUCCAUAGCUCGCCCUUAUUAAGAACAAACCCCCCACCCAUCCUCUUGUGGGCACUGACUGGCCACUGGGCCUUAGGCCCAUCACAUAUCAACACUUGGAAAACGGUAAAAAAUUCACGGCCAUCAAUUUUGGCGUCAACAGUUUUUGCAUCAAAUCAUUGGAAUGUGCCCUGUGUUUGGUUAGUUGCUUUUCUAAAAAGUCACAAGACCUAAAAAGUUAUUCAAUGGUCCGGACUAACAAGUCAGUUUUGUGGCUACAAAAAAAUAAAAACGCCGUUCACUUUCAUUGAGCUGAUUCAGGAUAGUAAAAGGUCAUGCUAACUAUCCCCGGUCAUUAGGUAGUGAGUGAUCAGCAAUUUUCUUCAGUAAAAGCUCGAGUCCCACUCUACAGUAUAAGAAUGUUUCCUGUAACAUUUUUAGUUUGAUUUUUUUUUUCUGUUUUAAAAGUUAUACGAGAGUAUUGGUCAUGAAAGACAAAAAAAAAUAGCUAAUUUAUUUAGUAAAAAAAUAUAUUUUUUGUCUUUAGUUAAUUUUUUUUCGUAUUUAAAUAAAAAAAUAUAUUUUUAAACUCAUCUUGUUAAAAAAAAUUAUAAAAUUUUAAUUAAAUAACUGAAAAAGUUUACUGAUUAUGGAAAAAAUUGAGCCAGAAAACAACUAACAAAUUUAUUAAAGGGUGAAUUACACUGACUUCCCUGAGGUUUACUUUUAAUACACAAAGUAUCCCUGAAGUUUCAAAAAUUACAAUGACCUCCCCUGAGAUUUGAGAGAAUAUCCUAACACCCCUGACACCCUUGUCUCCUUAGGAAAAUGACCAAAAUACCCCCCAUUUUAACAAAAAAUAAAUUCUCUUUUUAUUAUUUUUUUCUUUUUUUUCUUUUAAUACCUUUUUUUUCUUUUUAUUAUUUUUUUAAUACCCUUUUAUUUUUUAAAUAAGAGAAAAAAAUAAAAAAAAUUUGGAAAAUAACUAAAAAAAAUUAAUAGUAAAAAAUAAAUAAAUAAAUACAAAAAACUCAAAAAAAUGAGAGAGAGGGUGGAGAGAUAGGGGGUAUUUUGGUCAUUUUGGUAAGGAGACAAGGGUGGAAAGGGGUGGAAGGAUAUUCUCUCAAACUUUAGGGGAGUUCAGUGUAUUUUUUGAAACAUCAGGGGUAUUUUGUGUAUUAAAGACAAACCUCAGGGGAAGUAAGUGUAAUAGACCCUACCGAAUUGGGCCUACUCAGAUAUUUUAGCAAAGGAAUAUGGUAUGAGCACGUUCGGACCCUAUCGAGUUGGACGACGAAGACCUGGGCACUGGGCCCCACUGGUUUAUUAAACUGAGAUUGUGGGGACACAUGCCAUUAAUCUGAUACACGGGAUCAGUCAACGACUAAACAGUAGGCCAACACAUAGGCUUUGUUUGGAACUCGUGCAAAGAGAAAGAAAAGAAGAAUUUAAAGAGAAUUAUAGAUUAUUUGGUUCAAUUUUCAUAAUUAAUUUUGGAUAAUAAAUUUUUUUCAUGAUUUUACAAGGAAAUAUAAUAAAAAGAAAAAAUAUUUAGUUUGAAAUAAAUCUAAAUAAAUAAUAAAGAAAAAAGGUGUUAAAUUAAGCUUUUCCAAUUUUUUUUGUUAAAUUUGGCACAAAUUUGUAUAAAGCCAAAUUUGCAAGGAUAAUAACAUUCUAAAAAUAUUACUUUUAAAAUAAUAUUAUUUUUAGUCAGAAAAUUGCUAGAAAUAUUUUAUAAAUAAUUUCAAUUAUUUUGGAUUUUUUUGAUGUUUUGGUCUACUAGGUUUUUUAUUUUUAGUAAUUAUUUUUUAUCUUUUUAUCAGAAUUUUAUAUUUUUACGGUCUCUUUUGAUGAGAAGAGUUUGAAGUAAAAGAAUCAACAAUUUUAGAAAAAUCCACUACAAAUAUUUGUUUUCAAUCUUUUAUGAUUUUUUCUAAAUUGUAUGAAAAAUCUUAGAUUUUAAACUCUUCUAAUAAUUCAUUAAAAAAAUUAUUUUAAACAUAUAAUUCAUAUGUCAAUUACAAAUUUUAAAUAUAACGGUCAAUUUUGAAAAUCCAUAACCAAUAGACAGUGCUAGUGAAUUCAUUACGUACGGACAUGCCAUUGUCCGAAGCUGAGAAAACAACCCUUGGACGUCAAUAGCCUGUAGUAAUGACAUAAAUAAUAAUAAAUAUAAUAAUAAUAAUAAUAAUAAUAUAAUAGUUCUAUUAUUGUUAUAUUCUUUAUUUUGGUACAGCGUGACUAAUUUUCAAGCAAAUUGUAAUUGUGUUUAUUUGGUUGAAUUUUAGGCUUAACUACUUGUGGAGAGUUUGUUGUUGGAUAGAAAAUAUUUGUAUUUAUUACAAAACUUUCGAAAAGAGCAUCCAGCCGAUCAGAUUUUCAUUUAUUUUUCUAUUAGUUUGUUUUGGUUGUAUUUAGGUUAAUGAUUUAUAGAUAGAUUUGUAAGAAAAUAAAAUUAACAAAAAAUGAUUAAAUUUGAAUCGUUAGAUCUAUUAACAUUUUCCUUUCCCUUUCAUUUUCAUUCUCCAAAUCGUAAAUCCAAAACAAUCUUAGAUUGUGUUUGGAUUAAUGAUUUGGUGAAGAGAAAAGAAAAAAAAAAACUUAAAAGAUAGAUCUAAUGUUUCUGAAAAGUUGACUUGCUCUUAAUUUCUUUUUAAUGUUUUGGAUAAUUUCUUCGUCAUUUUUGGAAAGUGAAGUUUUUUUACACUUUUUUAUUUUUUAUUUUUAUUUUUUAAAAAUACUUUUUCUGAAAAAAACUAGUAUAAUAAACAUGUUUGGUACAAGUGUUUAAAAAUUUGUCAAGUGAGAGGUGUCUGUAGGGGCAUUAGCGUGGCUCUGGAGGAAGUGGCCGGAGUGGGGUCGUCAUCGGAAGGUUGCCAGAUAUUGUGUUGAUCUCUCCUACUUAUGUAACUGCACCAACUCCAUUCCUACUAAAUACAUUGAGUAUCCAAUUAUGCUAAAUUGCUAUGUAUAAACAUGGUAAUAGCACUCAUUAUUUAGGCGUACAAGUAAAACUAAGUUGAAUUAGAGGGAGCAAUUAUGCUAAAUUGUUGCAGAUCCUCCAUUCCCUUCAGCUUAACAUCACAAAGCUUAAUCAUCCAGAAUGAUUGCUGCAGAUCCUCCACCCAUAAAAUUGGUGUUUAUGUGAAUAUGAAGUGUGACCACUUCUUUAAAAAUUUGAAAAGGCAAAAUUUUUGAGAAAAUACUUGCAAAAUCAGGAAAAAGUAUUCCAAGACCAAAAUAGACACAAUAGUAAGAACUGAACUGUGUCAUGAGAAGUUUUUAUGUGACGUUUAUUGUCUCAAUUUACAUCGGUGGUUGCACAAUUCAAGGCAGGCUCGCCCACUGAUCUCCUAGUAAAUUGGAUAGACUCCCACAAGAGAAGAUUUAAGGCCAAAAACUACCUAUCUUUACAGGAAUUAUCCAUUAUCUCUCUCAUAUUUCCAUCAUUCUAAAUGAAAUUUUCAUUCAUGGAGAGAUUGUUAAAAAUUUAUGGUGCGAAUGAAUGGCCAAAGGGCU
rnacentral:lncRNA from 1 species